GCCCUCAUAGUUAAAUGGAUAUAACGAGGUCCUCCUAAGACUUAGUUGUAGGUUCGAUUCCUACUGAGGGUG
rnacentral:tRNA from 1 species